rnacentral:lncRNA from 1 species
UUUUCUUCUCCCUCUUUUGUUCUAAUUAAGAAAUGCUCUCAUGCAUGUAUGUUCUUUGAGUGCUUUUAUCGUAUGGCUGGUUUUGACAGGAAUUUUUUUUAUAAUGAUCUAGCCUCUCACUACCUUUCAUCCAGAAAAUGGGUAAACAUUGCUCGAGCUUUUGUUCAAGGUAAAGUUUUAUCCAGAAAAUGGGUAAACAUUGCUCAGGCUUUUGCUCGAGGGAAAUUUUUAUCCAAAAAAUGGAUAAAAAUCCUCUCACUUCCUUUCUUGAGGCGUUUUACUUCAAGGUUUGCUUCCAGUACUGUUGAUGUUUUUUCAUAGAUUUAAUGUAUUUUUAGUUAUUUUUAUUACUCCUUAAUUUCAUUUGUUGAUUUUUUUGUUAAUUAGUUGAAGUGUUAACUCUAUUGGCUUUGACUCGAUCACUUUGUCCAAAAGGUAAGAUUGUUUAAUAAAUAAUAAUGAAUUGUUUAAUUAUGGAGUUUUGAGUAUUUUAAUUUACGAAUAUCAUAGAAUUCUUACUGAAAAUAUUAAAAUUGCUUGUUAUUAGUAUUACAAUGAUCAGACUGUCAUGUGUAUUGAACAUGUAAUGCAGUACAUCUUUUUGGAUUCUAUAUAUGCUGCUGGAUCGAAAUUCAAUUCCGAUUGUUGAUUCCGUCAGACUGUUACGGAUUUUGUUCAUGCGGUAGCGGUUGAUGCCGCAAUACCUAAAGAUGCAAGAAGCUGCUUGGUGCAUUGAAAUGAGCUUAGUGGAAAUUUUGUGUAUUUACUAAUCUAAAGGGAAGGCUUUUAUUAAUUAUCAGUUGGCAUGGCUUGGCUCAAAUCGUUAUAAUUCCUUUAUUAAUUAUCAGUUGACCAAUCCUUUUUAACUGGGUUGCUUAUUACCAAUCUCCGACACAUGUCACAAAGGACCAAAGCGGCUGGCCGACCUCGUGGUUUCCUACAUACCUUUCUCCACUGCACUGCAAUGGCAUCUACACGAUGCCCACGAUACCCCUAAGGGUCAAAUCCCCUUUUUUUUGCGAAGAUAA